UACGGAGGGGGCGAGCGUUAUUCGGAAUUAUUGGGCGUAAAGGGCGCGUAGGCGGCUCGCUAAGUCAAAGGUGAAAUCCCUCGGCUCAACUGAGGAACUGCCUUUGAAACCGUCGAGCUCGAGUCCGGGAGGGGGUAGCGGAAUUCCCAGUGUAGCGGUGAAAUGCGUAGAUAUUGGGAGGAACACCAGUGGCGAAGGCGGCUACCUGGACCGGUUCUGACGCUGAGGCGCGAAAGCGUGGGUAGCAAACAGG
rnacentral:rRNA from 1 species